rnacentral:rRNA from 1 species
AUUGAACGCUGGCGGCAUGCUUUACACAUGCAAGUCGAACGGUAACAGGCCGCAAGGUGCUGACGAGUGGCGCACGGGUGAGUAAUGCAUCGGAACGUGCACAGUCGUGGGGGAUAACUACUCGAAAGAGUAGCUAAUACCGCAUACGAUCUAUGGAUGAAAGCGGGGGACCGUAAGGCCUCGCGCGAUUGGAGCGGCCGAUGUCAGAUUAGGUAGUUGGUGGGGUAAAGGCUCACCAAGCCAACGAUCUGUAGCUGGUCUGAGAGGACGACCAGCCACACUGGGACUGAGACACGGCCCAGACUCCUACGGGAGGCAGCAGUGGGGAAUUUUGGACAAAGGGCGCAAGCCUGAUCCAGCAAUGCCGCGUGCAGGAAGAAGGCCUUCGGGUUGUAAACUGCUUUUGUACGGAACGAAACGGCUCUGGUUAAUACCCGGGGCUAAUGACGGUACCGUAAGAAUAAGCACCGGCUAACUACGUG